rnacentral:rRNA from 1 species
AGGGAACCUACCUAUAAGACUGGGAUAACUUCGGGAAACCGGAGCUAAUACCGGAUAAUAUUUCGAACCGCAUGGUUCGAUAGUGAAAGAUGGUUUUGCUAUCAUUAUAGAUGGACCCGCGCCGUAUUAGCUAGUUGGUAAGGUAACGGCUUACCAAGGCGACGAUACGUAGCCGACCUGAGAGGGUGAUCGGCCACACUGGAACUGAGACACGGUCCAGACUCCUACGGGAGGCAGCAGUAGGGAAUCUUCCGCAAUGGGCGAAAGCCUGACGGAGCAACGCCGCGUGAGUGAUGAAGGUCUUCGGAUCGUAAAACUCUGUUAUUAGGGAAGAACAUACGUGUAAGUAACUGUGCACGUCUUGACGGUACCUAAUCAGAAAGCCACGGCUAACUA